rnacentral:lncRNA from 1 species
GGAUAUUUUUCAGAUAAUUGCACUUGGGAGAUCAUUGAACUUUUUGAUUGUGUGAUUUAGUGUUUCUCUUUAAAAUGAAAUUUGAGAGCAAGAAUAUGGAGUUGGGGAUAUCCUACUCAUCUCCUUCCAAAGAAACAAGCAUUUGGCAGCCUUUCACAGAAAAAAAGCACAGUUGUGAGUGCACUGGAAUUCAGGUCAGAGGUAGCAAACCUCAGGAUAGCCCAAGAAUGAAGACGGCUGCUUUAAAUACUUAUUAUAUUGGGUAAUGACAGAAGAAAGCCACUGUACUAGAAAGGGCGUAGCCCAGACUUGCUGUAAGAGGGUGAUUUAUGCACCAGACCAUAGGCUGACACUGAUGACCAAGGACACCUGGGGCUGAGCUGUACACCCAGGGAAGCAGGUAAGUGUCAGGGAAGGGUGUGUGUGAGAACACCAAGCUGGUUGUGCCCACAGGGAGGGGGACUUGCUAAUACAUUGUCAGGAACAUCACAAAGUGAGGUUGUACUUUUAUUUCUUUUGCAAUUACGUAUUGAGUGUGCACAGUACUGUAGGGGCUGGGAGGGGAUAAAAGAGCUGAAUGGCUUUCUCUAGAAUGGUGGCCUGUCUCCUGAGUAGUAACUUGCUGACCCUGCCCCUGAAGUGAAAAAGAGGGUGAAGGGCUACUUGCUCAAGCUUGUUCUCUUUUCUUACCUCUUCCCCCUCUGUGGUUUCCUCUGCCGCUGAACAGGGCCCAGGCAGCCUGCCAUGAGAUCGUGCUCCAAGGACCGGCCGUUCUGCUGGACCCACGGGCUCCUGGUAUUCAUCAGCCUGCUCCUCAGUGUCUGCAGCUCUGCAGCCAACACUUCCGGAGCGCAUGGCUCUGCUGUGAAGGAUUCUGAAAACCACAUUUAUCUGAAGCGCAUCCGAGGAGGUUCUGUCUUGUUUAAUGUGACCGAGAAGCCCAUGGCAGAUGCAGGAGCCGAAAUACAGGAGGUUUUAUGGGGUUUGGGCACUCCGUCAAAGCACAGGCGGCUGCUGCAAGUCCGUAGAGGAGCCGACUCUCCCACCUGGGUUAACGUCCAGGACAAGUUCAAGCAGAGGGUCCAUGUGCCCAGCCUGUGGUCUCUGAGGAUUGAGAACCUGGCCCCUGAAGACACUGGGCCAUACGUGGCCAUGACCAGCUUAACUGAUGGACAAAUGCUUGGCCAGGUUUUCUACCUGACUGUCUAUGAGCCUGUGCCUCACCCUGAGAUCCUGGCCAAGUCACUGUCUAUCACACCAGGCCUGUGUAACAUCACUCUGGAGUGUAGGGUUCCAGGGGCCACCCAGGAUCUGAAUGUGACUUGGGAGAGCAAGGGCCUCUUCAGAGAGCUGGAACAGAGAGACACACCAGGAUCAACCGCCAAGCUUUGGACCCUGGCUGUGAGCCUGCCCCUGAGCCAGCGGAUCGGCGAUCUCACCUGUGUGGUCAGCAACCAGGUGGAUCAGAAAGCUGCGACCUUAGACCUUGGGAAAGUCUGUGCCCAAGGUUUACACAAACAGGAUGUGACUAGACUGCUGCCAGGCAUCCUAGGGGCUUCUGUGGCUGUGCUGUUAGUCCUGGGAAGUGGGCUGUAUGUUUUGAAGACAUGUCAGAAGAAGAAGAUGGUGAUGGAAAUAAAAAGGGGUGGAGGAUUGCAGAAGAACCAUGGGGUUGAUGAUGGUGGCAUCCCCUUUGAGACGCUCAGCCAGCAAGUGCAAGGUGAGGGCAAGGACAAGGUGAGUGCCAGGGCACUGGCCACCCUGGGAACUCCCACGUCUCUCUGCCCAGCCUUGGGCUUCCAAUUCCAGGAGCUGUCACUUCUGGUCCAACUGCCUAUUUAUCUAUAUCUGGAUAAUCAACAGUAUUGA